UGUUGAGUUUUUGAUUUCGCCGCCGUUGUCGUUCCGAAAAGAUUAAUCGAACAAUAAAUACAACUCGUCGUUUGUACAUCGUUAAAAUUCAUUAUUGUUCAUCAAUCACAAUAUCUUCCAAACACUGUUGUACAAUAAUAUCAUUAUUGAAUUGUACAUACUAUUCGAAGAAAAUUUGAUUUCGCGUCAUGAAUACAAAUGUAUUAUUCAUACACUACUUAGGUAGGUUAUUUAUUAGGAAGUCGACGGUAGUCUAUUAUAACAUCAAAAGACGAGCAUCGGACAGUAUUACAUUAUUAUAAUAUAUUAUUUGGGUAUAAAAUAUGUAUACCUUUGCAGUGGUGCAAC